GAUGAACGCUGGCGGCGUGCUUAACACAUGCAAGUCGAACGGAAAGGCCCAAGCUUGCUUGGGUACUCGAGUGGCGAACGGGUGAGUAACACGUGGGUGAUCUGCCCUGCACUUCGGGAUAAGCCUGGGAAACUGGGUCUAAUACCGGAUAGGACCACUUCUUGGAUGUUGUGGUGGAAAGUUUUUUCGGUGUGGGAUGAGCUCGCGGCCUAUCAGCUUGUUGGUGGGGUAAUGGCCUACCAAGGCGUCGACGGGUAGCCGGCCUGAGAGGGUGUACGGCCAAAUUGGGACUGAGAUACGGCCCAGACUCCUACGGGAGGCAGCAGUGGGGAAUAUUGCACAAUGGGCGCAAGCCUGAUGCAGCGAAGCCGCGUGGGGGAUGACGGCCUUCGGGUUGUAAACUCCUUUCGCUAGGGACGAAGCGUUUUGUGACGGUACCUGGAGAAGAAGCACCGGCUAACUACGUG
rnacentral:rRNA from 1 species